UUGGUGGGGUUUCUUGCAGGAAACGAACUGCCCAACUGAAUCAUUUGGAUUUGAAUUUGAAAGGACAGCAGGUGCAGGCACUGAACAAUUUUAAGAUCUCCUCAAUUUAAGAAAAUGGACACAAUUCAAUGGGUAUCAAUCAAUAAAGAGACUUCACCCUCCCGACAGCUCUGAUGAAUAUAACAGGAAAUCUGUCUGAUCACCAUGCACUGCAAAAUCAUUCUGGCUAUGGAUACGGAGAACAUCAACACAUUAACAUCAACACGCCUGAGGAUAUAUCCAUUGGACUU